GAUGAACGCUGGCGGCGUGCCUAAUACAUGCAAGUCGAGCGAACGGACGAGAAGCUUGCUUCUCUGAUGUUAGCGGCGGACGGGUGAGUAACACGUGGAUAACCUACCUAUAAGACUGGGAUAACUUCGGGAAACCGUAGCUAAUACCGGAUAAUAUUUUGAACCGCAUGGUUCAAAAGUGAAAGACGGUCUUGCUGUCACUUAUAGAUGGAUCCGCGCUGCAUUAGCUAGUUGGUAAGGUAACGGCUUACCAAGGCAACGAUGCAUAGCCGACCUGAGAGGGUGAUCGGCCACCCUGGAACUGAGACACGGUCCAGACUCCUACGGGAGGAAGCAGUAGGGAAUCUUCCGCAAUGGGCGAGAGCCUGACGGAGCAACGCCGCGUGAGUGAUGAAGGUCUUCGGAUCGUAAAACUCUGUUAUUAGGGAAGAACAUAUGUGUAAGUAACUGUGUACAUCUUGACGGUACCUAAUCAGAAAGCCACGGCUAACUACGUG
rnacentral:rRNA from 1 species